rnacentral:rRNA from 1 species
GACGAACGCUGGCGGCGUGCUUAACACAUGCAAGUCGAACGGGCCCGCCCCUGUUUUUGGGGGUGGGUUGAGUGGCGAACGGGUGAGUAUCACGUGAGUAACCUGCCCCCUGCUCCUGGAUAACUGCUUGAAAGGGCGGCUAAUACGGGGUGUGCCGGCUGGUCCGCAUGGGCCUGGUCGGGAUAGUUUCAUCUUCGGGUGUUUCGGUGGGGGAUGGGCUCGCGGCCUAUCAGCUUGUUGGUGGGGUGAUGGCCCACCAAGGCGGUGACGGGUAGCCGGCCUGAGAGGGUGGGCGGCCACACUGGGACGGAGACACGGCCCAGACUCCUGCGGGAGGCAGCAGUGGGGGGUAUUGCACAAUGGGCGGAAGCCUGAUGCAGCGACGUCGCGUGAGGGAUGGAGGCCUUCGGGUUGUGAACCUCUUUCUCCGGUGGUGAAGGCCCUGUCCGUUGCGGCGGGGUUGACGGUAGCCGGGGAUGAAGCGCCGGCUAACUACGUG